UCCGCAGGCGGGUAAUUAAGUCAGAGGUGAAAUCCCACAGCUUAACUGUGGAACUGCCUUAGAUACUGGUUAUCUUGAGUUUUAGUGAAGUAGAUAGAAUGUGUAGUGUAGCGGUGAAAUGCAUAGAUAUUACACAGAAUACCGAUUGCGAAGGCAGUCUACUAACUAACAACUGACGCUAAUGGACGAAAGCGUGGGGAGCGAACAGGAUUAGAUACCCUGGUAGUCCC
rnacentral:rRNA from 1 species